rnacentral:miRNA from 1 species
CUUCCAGCCGGCAAGGUGCAUGUACCUCGCCGGCUGGAAGGAUUUCCUUCCAGUCGACGAGGUACAUGUACCUCGUCGACCGGAAG